rnacentral:misc_RNA from 1 species
UCCGGUUUGUCACCGGCAGUCUCGCAUGAGUCCCCGACUAAAUGCUGGCAACAUGCGACGGGGGUUGCGCUCGUUGCGGGACUUAACCCAACAUCUCACGACACGAGCUGACGACAGCCAUGCACCACCUGUGAAAGUGUCCCGAAGGAAAGCCGUGUUUCCACGGCGGUCACUCACAUGUCAAGCCCAGGUAAGGUGGGGAUGACGUCAGUGCUUGCCU